AGGGGAAGAGAGGGAAGCAUGGUGUCUGGAAUGGAGGCUGAUCCAAGAUCCUUGGUCCGAAAUAUUGUGUUUCUGUGUUUGUUGCCAAGGAUCUCGGACCAGGCUUCAUUCCUCACACCGAGCUUCCGCUGCGAGAUUGUGUUUC